rnacentral:rRNA from 1 species
GAGCCCAGCUUGCUGGGUGGAUCAGUGGCGAACGGGUGAGUAACACGUGAGCAACCUGCCCCUGACUCUGGGAUAAGCGCUGGAAACGGCGUCUAAUACUGGAUACRAGACGUGACCGCAUGGUCAACGUUUGGAAAGAUUUUUCGGUUGGGGAUGGGCUCGCGGCCUAUCAGCUUGUUGGUGAGGUAAUGGCUCACCAAGGCGUCGACGGGUAGCCGGCCUGAGAGGGUGACCGGCCACACUGGGACUGAGACACGGCCCAGACUCCUACGGGAGGCAGCAGUGGGGAAUAUUGCACAAUGGGCGGAAGCCUGAUGCAGCAACGCCGCGUGAGGGAUGACGGCCUUCGGGUUGUAAACCUCUUUUAGCAGGGAARAAGCGAAAGUGACGGUACCUGCARAAAAAGCGCCGGCUAACUACGUGCCAGCAGCCGCGGUAAUACGUAGGGCGCAAGCGUUAUCCGGAAUUAUUGGGCGUAAAGAGCUCGUAGGCGGUUUGUCGCGUCUGCUGUGAAAUCUGGGGGCUCAACCCCCAGCCUGCAGUGGGUACGGGCAGACUAGAGUGCGGUAGGGGAGAUUGGAAUUCCUGGUGUAGCGGUGGAAUGCGCAGAUAUCAGGAGGAACACCGAUGGCGAAGGCAGAUCUCUGGGCCGUAACUGACGCUGAGGAGCGAAAGGGUGGGGAGCAAACAGGCUUAGAUACCCUGGUAGUCCACCCCGUAAACGUUGGGAACUAGUUGUGGGGUCCAUUCCACGGAUUCCGUGACGCAGCUAACGCAUUAAGUUCCCCGCCUGGGGAGUACGGCCGCAAGGCUAAAACUCAAAGGAAUUGACGGGGACCCGCACAAGCGGCGGAGCAUGCGGAUUAAUUCGAUGCAACGCGAAGAACCUUACCAAGGCUUGACAUAUACGAGAACGGGCCAGAAAUGGUCAACUCUUUGGACACUCGUAAACAGGUGGUGCAUGGUUGUCGUCAGCUCGUGUCGUGAGAUGUUGGGUUAAGUCCCGCAACGAGCGCAACCCUCGUUCUAUGUUGCCAGCACGUAAUGGUGGGAACUCAUGGGAUACUGCCGGGGUCAACUCGGAGGAAGGUGGGGAUGACGUCAAAUCAUCAUGCCCCUUAUGUCUUGGGCUUCACGCAUGCUACAAUGGCCGGUACAAAGGGCUGCAAUACCGCGAGGUGGAGCGAAUCCCAAAAAGCCGGUCCCAGUUCGGAUUGAGGUCUGCAACUCGACCUCAUGAAGUCGGAGUCGCUAGUAAUCGCAGAUCAGCAASGCUGCGGUG